CACCAGUGAAAGAGGGGAAGUUGCUACUGUGAUGAAUUCUGCCAUGUGGUACCAGACUGCUGCCCAGACCACAGUGUCCUCUGCAACCCUGCUUCUCAGAUGACCAAGAUGGUGCUGCCGAUGGUGUUGAGGACGGAGAACCCACCAAGCCCCGUUAGGAGCCACCUAGACUGGAUGCAGAGCACAUUCUAGGUUCGCUCUAAACCUCCAGUGGAGAGGUUGGGUGUGGUGGCUCACACCUGUAAUCCCAGCACUUUGGGAGGCCGAGGUGGGCGGAUCACCUGAGGUUGGGAGUUCGAGACUAGCCUGACCAACAUGGAGAAACCCCAUCUCUACUAAAAAUACAAAAUUAGCCAGGUGUGGUAGCAGGUGCCUGUAAUCCCAGCUACUCGGGAGGCUGAGGCAGGAGAAUUGCUUGAACCUGGGAGGUGGAGGUUGCAGUGAGCUGACAUUGCACCACUGCACUGCAGCCUGGGCAACAAAAGUGAAACUCUGUUUCAAAAAAAAAAAAA
rnacentral:lncRNA from 1 species